rnacentral:rRNA from 1 species
GCUAAGAGCAGUGCAGCAGUCGCGGGAAUACGUGGGGUGCAGGGGGUAAUGGGAGUGAGUAGGCGUAAGUGGGGCGGAGGGGGUUGAGGCAGUGAGUGGGGAAAGUCCUGGGCUUAACCAGGGGACGGAGAUUGAGACGGAUGGACUAGGGUGGGCGAGAGGAUCGUGGAAUGCCGGGUGUAGCGGGGAAAUGCGUAGAGAUCCGGAGGAACACCGAGGGCGAAGGCAGCGGUCUGGGGCCACACUGACGCUGAGGCACGAAAGCGUGGGGAGCAAACAGGAUUAGAUACCCUGGUAGUC